CCCUUAUUAUUUUGUCCCACACUCACCCCCUCCUAACCCAGUAGCCCUAACUUCUUGAGCUCCCGCUGGAUCCACCGUAAGGUCCCCUCUUGCGGCAUCUCCUCUGCUCGGCGUCCCUCCCAUGCUCGUCGCUACUAGAAGAAGGCCAUUCAUCCACUACCAGCGACAGUCGACGGAACAAAGAUGAAUCAAGGUUGGAAGUGUUAGCGACAAAUCUUGGAGCUUCGAUGCCGUAACAAAAAUCACUUGAGCUAUGGUUCUUUCUCCUUCAAAUAUCUCAGCAUUCCGAACUCUACGCAGGACCCACACAGCGUUGCAAUCAACGUCAGCUUUCUCUCUCCUUCUUGUCCCAAACUCAUCAAUGCGCACACCGCCAGCCACAGAUCAGCAAAAUUUUUAAAUUGCUGCUGCUAGUUAAUGGAGUCGAAGCCUGAUUCAGCAGGCCCGCAAUUAAGCAAACGGUUUUCGAAGAAGUUCUGCAUCUUGAACUUAGUACUUCAAUCAGAUUCUGACAGUUGUGCUUGAAGUGCUGGAUGAUUCAGAUUCCUCAAUCAGAGAGCUUGCUCUUUCAAUGCUUGUUGCAAUGCUUAAAAACCAGAUUCUUACCCCUUUUUAUGCACUCCACUUUGUUUCAUUGUGCCCUUGCCUAUAUUGGUAAAUGCAACCAUACAUAUUUCUUUUAUGGACUUUUUGGAAUAUAAUAAGAGGUUGUUCUAUCUUUCUGUUUAUUCAUUCCAGAAAGAUGCCAUGGAAAGUUCAGUCGAAAUUGUUAUUGAAAAGCUGCUUAAUAUAACAAAAGAUAGAGUUUCUAAGGUGUGGAAUGCUUGUAAACCAAGCGUGGAUGAUACUGAACAGCCAAAUCACGAGAUAGAUGUGUUAUCUGGGCAUGAAAAUGAUGUAAACUAUGUGCAAUUUAGUGGAUGUGCAGUAGCAUCUCAGUUUUCCACAUCAAAAAUUUGGAAAGAGGAAAAUAUUCCCAAAUUUAAGAAUUCAUGGUGGGUGGGUGUGUAUAUAUAUCUUUGGGAACUAGUGUUUUGAAUGUUCUGACUCCUAGAUUGGCCCUCUUCUCUCCUAUGCUUUCUUCCAGCUAAAAAUGCCUUCUGCCCAAUUCUCAAUGUUUUAGCUAUCUAAUAAUCUAGUCGGCUUUUAUUCUAGGUUGAAUCAUGAUAAUAUUGUUAUCUGCUCUCGUGAUGGGAGUGCUAUUAUAUGGAUUCCCAAAUCACGCAGGUCACAUGUAAAAUUCAUCAAAUGUAAUUUCUUCUAUGGUUGCUUUCUUUCUUUUUCCUCUUUUUAUGAAGGAAAGUGAGAGUUAUGGCUACUUUGUUACCCAAAUUACCAAAGAUUAGUUGACUACAUUCUAGUUUUUCAAAUUUUUUCUAUUUAGGAGAAAAGUAGUCGCUGGACUCGGGCAUAUCAUCUGAGAGUUCUACCUCCACCUAUGCCUCCUCAACCUUAGAGAGAUGGUCCUCGUCAGAGAACUCUACCCACUCCACGUGGUGUAAAUAUGAUUGUUUGGAGUCUAGAUAACUGCUUUGUCCUUGCAGUUAUUAUGGGUGAGAAAACUCUUGUUGUGGCAAAGAUAGUGUGAGGAUGCAUUGUAUUUCCUGUUCACUUUUGGUUGUCGACGGCCUGUGCGUCACUUGGCAUCAGUUGCAAUGGCAAAAAUCAUAUCAAAGGAGAUGGAAUAUCUAUUUAUGCUAGAGCAAGCAGUCUUUAAGGAUUUCUUUAAUAUAUUUGUUUUUGAGUUUUUGUCAGCCAAAUUGGUUCUCUUGUUUGAGAAAUUAUAUAGAAUUCAAUUUUUGUAAACAAUUUUAAUUAUUAUUCUAUCAAUGAUUCUUGUUACCA